ACACUGCGGUGUGUAGUCGUAUCGUGUCCCCCUUCACAACUUCUUCCGAUAACGAACGUGUUUUACGCGCCACACCAAAAUAAUCCGAUUACCGGGGCCAAACUAGCCUUUAAAAGUCGCCUUCGAAACGAGAAAAGAGCGGGAAAAAGGAAGGUCCUUAACCUCUUUUGAUUCGCUAGCUGUUUUACGCUUGAUUCCGCGUCAAGUUUUAAUGAACUCGUCCUAGUUAAUUUCGUCUAAUCAAAUUCGUCAAAUUAGAAACUUGUUUAAACACAAUAAGAGUGGAAUCUGUGUUUUAAUCGAUACUUCUGCGGAAUUCACGAUGACGCGAUAGAGUUAAUAAAAUGUUUCAAUUAUUUAUCGAUUGUGUUCGCUGAAAUUAACGAGUCAUCGCUCGAUAUCGAAUAUUCGAAAUUAUUAUCAUUACGCUAUAAAAACCACGUACUUCAUGGUAUUUCUGAUCCUUCAAAUCUUUAAUAGUUAUAACGUUAGUGAAAGUCGAACUAGAAAGAAAAUUCACAUUUACGUUAAAAAUAAAUUUUUUAUUCAAUAUUAUACAUUUACGCAUGGUCUUAAAUUAAUUAAUUAUUCAUAGAAAUAAAUGAUUAAUUUUUAUAUUAAUCAAAUAAUUUUUAAAAAAAAUGUAUCUGAAUGAUUAUAAGAGUGGUAAAUGUACAUGAAAAAACGACCAAUAUUUUCAAAAUGCCUGUUUAUCGAUUUGAAAGAAGACCGUAUAUACAGUCUCUCUUACUAGUUACAUACACUUCCACAAAUCUUGUGUUCCUACGGGGUAUAGUGAGAUCAGAUUUCGAAUCCUCAGGAUACUAUACCUACAAGGUCUUUACUUGAAUGCUAUAGUAUAGUAUAUGCAUAAGUUCUACGAAAUAAGUAUUGAUCACUUGUCAUUUUCUUUUUUUUUUUCAAUUGAUUCUUUCUUUAUAUUUAAAUAUUAUUAAAUUUGUAAUACUAAAAAAACAUUAAUUUUUAAAAGAAAAAUUAGAUUUUUAGAAAAAGAAGGAAUUUAAAUGAAUCGAAAAUUUAUAGCCGAUUAAUAGUAAAAUAACUACAGAGCUUGGAAAGUUCUCGAAAGAUCUGAAUUUUGCGUCAAUAAAAGAGAUUAAUAACUGAUAAAAAAUAGAAGGAGGAACAUAACAUGAAGAGGAAUAGAAUCGAGAUUCUAUUGAAAAUCAUUAAAGCAAUAAUCUUUGAUGGAAGCAUCAAAAAUACAUUUUCAUUAAUCAUUUUAUAUAUUUGAUAUAUAUUUUUUUCUUUAUAUGUAUUAUUGUAAAUAAUAAUUUAUCAUGUAUUAUUAAUCUACUAAUAUAUUAUAUACUUCAUUCAU